rnacentral:rRNA from 1 species
AACUCUAUGCGGUGGAUCACUCGGCUCGUGCGUCGAUGAAGAGCGCAGCCAGCUGCGUGAAUUAAUGUGAAUUUGCAAGGUACACAACUGAACAUCGACAACCUUUGAACGCACAUUGCGGCUCUGGCUCACUGCCAGAGCCACGCCUGUCCGAGGGUCG